GACGAACGCUGGCGGCGUGCUUAACACAUGCAAGUCGAACGGUAAGGCCCUUCGGGGUACACGAGUGGCGAACGGGUGAGUAACACGUGGGUGAUCUGCCCUGCACUUCGGGAUAAGCCUGGGAAACUGGGUCUAAUACCGGAUAGGACCCUGGGAUGCAUGUCCUGGGGUGGAAAGCUUUUGCGGUGUGGGAUGGGCCCGCGGCCUAUCAGCUUGUUGGUGGGGUGAUGGCCUACCAAGGCGACGACGGGUAGCCGGCCUGAGAGGGUGACCGGACACACGGGGACUGAGAUACGGCCCAGACUCCUACGGGAGGCAGCAGUGGGGAAUAUUGCACAAGGGGCGCAAGCCUGAUGCAGCGACGCCGCGUGAGGGAUGACGGCCUUCGGGUUGUAAACCUCUUUCAGCACCGACGAAGCGCAAGUGACGGUAGGUGCAGAAGAAGGACCGGCCAACUACGUGCCAGCCGCCGCCGUAACAC
rnacentral:rRNA from 1 species